AAACCGGCCCUUUUUAGGGCCACUGUGAUGUAUAAAUCCGACUGAGU
rfam:Harpegnathos saltator strain R22 G/1 HarSal_1.0_1.contig9167, whole genome shotgun sequence.